rnacentral:rRNA from 1 species
GUAGGGUGCAAGCGUUAAUCGGAAUUACUGGGCGUAAAGCGUGCGCAGGCGGGUUUUGUAAGUCUGUCGAGAAAGCCCCGGGGCUCAACCUGGGAAUUGCGAUGGAGACUGCAAGGCUUGAAUCUGGCAGAGGGGGGUAGAAUUCCACGUGUAGCAGUGAAAUGCGUAGAGAUGUGGAGGAACACCGAUGGCGAAGGCAGCCCCCUGGGUCAAGAUUGACGCUCAUGCACGAAAGCGUGGGGAGCAAACAGGAUUAGAUACCCUGGUAGUCCACGCCCUAAACGAUGUCUACUAGUUGUCGGGUUUUAAUUAACUUGGUAACGCAGCUAACGCGUGAAGUAGACCGCCUGGGGAGUACGGUCGCAAGAUUA